CACGUAGGAGGCGAGCGUUGUCCGGAAUCACUGGGCGUAAAGGGUGCGUAGGCGGGUCUUUAAGUCAGGGGUGAAAUCCUGGAGCUCAACUCCAGAACUGCCUUUGAUACUGAGGAUCUUGAGUUCGGGAGAGGUGAGUGGAACUGCGAGUGUAGAGGUGAAAUUCGUAGAUAUUCGCAAGAACACCAGUGGCGAAGGCGGCUCACUGGCCCGAUACUGACGCUGAGGCACGAAAGCGUGGGGAGCAAACAGG
rnacentral:rRNA from 1 species